rnacentral:siRNA from 1 species
GAAGUUUAGUCCAUGUGGUCA